AUGACGUCAAGUCCUCAUGGCCCUUAUAGGUGGGCUACACACGUCAUACAAUGGCUGGUACAAAGGGUUGCCAACCCGCGAGGGGGAGCCAAUCCCAUAAAGCCAGUCGUAGUCCGGAUCGUAGUCUGCCAACUCGACUACGUGAAGUCGGAAUCGCUAGUAAUCGUGGAUCAGAAUGUCACGGUGAAUACGUUCCCGGGUCCUU
rnacentral:rRNA from 1 species